rnacentral:rRNA from 1 species
CUUAAGCAUAUCAAUAAGCGGAGGAAAAGAAACCAACAGGGAUUGCCUUAGUAGCGGCGAGCGAAGCGGCAACAGCUCAAAUUUGAAAUCUGGCUACUUUGUAGUCCGAGUUGUAAUUUGCAGAGGAUGCUUUUGGUGAGGUGCCUUCCGAGUUCCCUGGAACGGGACGCCAGAGAGGGUGAGAGCCCCGUACGGUUGGACACCAAACCUUUGUAUAGCUCCUUCAACGAGUCGAGUAGUUUGGGAAUGCUGCUCUAAAUGGGAGGUAUAUCUCUUCUAAAGCUAAAUACCGGCUAGAGACCGAUAGCGCACAAGUAGAGUGAUCGAAAGAUGAAAAGCACUUUGAAAAGAGAGUUAAACAGCACGUGAAAUUGUUGAAAGGGAAGCGCCUAUGACCAGACUUGUUUCUGUCAGUUUUGCUUGUUUUCGGACUUGUUUACUCUGUCAGUACAGGCCAACAUCAGUUUGUUGUUUGGGAGAAAGGCUUAGGGAAUGUGGCUCCCUCGGGAGUGUUAUAGCCCUUUGCAUAAUACCAUUCGGCAGACUGAGGACCGCGCUUCGGCAAGGAUGUUGGCGUAAUGGUCAUCAGCGACCCGUCUUGAAACACGGACCAAGGAGUCAACCUUAUGUGCGAGUGUUUGGGUGUAAAACCCCAGCGCGUAAUGAACGUGAACGUAGGUGAGAGCUUCGGCGCAUCAUCGACCGAUUCUGAUGUUCUCGGAUGGAUUUGAGUAAGAGCAUAUAGGGUUGGACCCGAAAGAAGGUGAACUAUGCUUGUAUAGGGUGAAGCCAGAGGAAACUCUGGUGGAGGCUCGCAGCGGUUCUGACGUGCAAAUCGAUCGUCAAAUAUGAGCAUGGGGGCGAAAGACUAAUCGAACCUUCUAGUAGCUGGUUCCAGCCGAAGUUUCCCUCAGGAUAGCAGUGUUGAACUUCAGUUUUAUGAGGUAAAGCGAAUGAUUAGGGACUCGGGGGCGCUAUAUUGCCUUCAUCCAUUCUCAAACUUUAAAUAUGUAAGAAGCCCUUGUUACUUAAUUGAACGUGGGCAUUCGAAUGUAUCAACACUAGUGGGC